UACGAAGGGGGCUAGCGUUGUUCGGAAUUACUGGGCGUAAAGCGCGCGCAGGCGGUCUUCCAAGUCAGUGGUGAAAGCCCGGAGCUCAACUCCGGAACUGCCAUUGAAACUGUAAGACUUGAGGAUGAGAGAGGUGAGUGGAAUUCCCAGUGUAGAGGUGAAAUUCGUAGAUAUUGGGAAGAACACCGGUGGCGAAGGCGGCCGCCUGGAUGGAGAUUGACGCUGAGGCGCGAGAGCGUGGGGAGCAAACAGG
rnacentral:rRNA from 1 species